AAUAUAGGGAAUCGAAUUCACUCCCAACCAAUGUGAACAUACCAAACUGUUGCCUCGGCGGGGUCACGCCCCGGGUGCGUCGCAGCCCCGGAACCAGGCGCCCGCCGGAGGGACCAACCAAACUCUUUUCUGUAGUCCCCUCGCGGACGUUAUUUCUUACAGCUCUGAGCAAAAAUUCAAAAUGAAUCAAAACUUUCAACAACGGAUCUCUUGGUUCUGGCAUCGAUGAAGAACGCAGCGAAAUGCGAUAAGUAAUGUGAAUUGCAGAAUUCAGUGAAUCAUCGAAUCUUUGAACGCACAUUGCGCCCGCCAGUAUUCUGGCGGGCAUGCCUGUCCGAGCGUCAUUUCAACCCUCGAACCCCUCCGGGGGGUCGGCGUUGGGGACCUCGGGAGCCCCUAAGACGGGAUCCCGGCCCCGAAAUACAGUGGCGGUCUCGCCGCAGCCUCUCCUGCGCAGUAGUUUGCACAACUCGCACCGGGAGCGCGGCGCGUCCACGUCCGUAAAACACCCAACUUUCUGAAAUGUUGACCUCGGAUCAGGUAGGAAUACCCGCUGAACUUAAGCAUAUCAAAAGCCGGGAGGAAGAUCAUUUCCGU
rnacentral:rRNA from 1 species